rnacentral:rRNA from 1 species
UACGUAGGGGGCAAGCGUUGUCCGGAUUUAUUGGGCGUAAAGAGCGUGUAGGCGGCCAGGUAGGUCAGCUGUGAAAACUCGAGGCUCAACCUCGAGACGCCGGUUGAAACCAUCUGGCUAGAGUCCGGAAGAGGAGAGUUGAAUUCCUGGUGUAGCGGUGAAAUGCGCAGAUAUCAGGAAGAACACCCGUGGCUAAGGCGGCUCUCUAGUACGGUACUGACGCUGAGACGCGAAAGCGUGGGGAGCGAACAGG